rnacentral:rRNA from 1 species
ACGUAGGCAGCAAGCGUUGUUCGGAGUUACUGGGCGUAGAGGGUGUGUAGGCGGUUCUUUAAGUUUGGUGUGAAAUCUCCCGGCUCAACCGGGAGGGUGCGCCGAAUACUGAGGGACUCGAGUGCGGGAGAGGAAAGUGGAAUUCCUGGUGUAGCGGUGAAAUGCGUAGAUAUCAGGAGGAACACCGGUGGUGUAGACGGCUUUCUGGACCACUUCUGACGCUGAGACACGAAAGCGUGGGUAGCAAACAGGA